CCUACGGGAGGCUGCAGUGGGGAAUAUUGGACAAUGGGGGCAACCCUGAUCCAGCCAUGCCGCGUGUGUGAAGAAGGCCCUCGGGUUGUAAAGCACUUUCAGUGAGGAAGAACGCCUGGUGGUUAAUACCCAUCAGGAAAGACAUCACUCACAGAAGAAGCACCGGCUAACUCCGUGCCAGCAGCCGCGGUAAUACGGAGGGUGCGAGCGUUAAUCGGAAUUACUGGGCGUAAAGCGCGCGUAGGUGGCUUGAUAAGCCGGUUGUGAAAGCCCCGGGCUCAACCUGGGAACGGCAUCCGGAACUGUCAAGCUAGAGUGCAGGAGAGGAAGGUAGAAUUCCCGGUGUAGCGGUGAAAGGCGUAGAGAUCGGGAGGAAUACCAGUGGCGAAGGCGGCCUUCUGGACUGACACUGACACUGAGGUGCGAAAGCGUGGGUAGCAAACAGGAUUAGAUACCCUAGUAGUC
rnacentral:rRNA from 1 species